GACGGAGGUCCCGAGCGUUGUUCGGAAUCAUUGGGCGUAAAGCGCGCGUAGGUGGCUUCGUAAGUCCGUUGUGAAAGUCAAAGGCUCAACCUUUGAAAGCCGAUGGAUACUGCGAAGCUAGAGUACGGAAGAGGCGAGUGGAAUUCCUGGUGUAGCGGUGGAAUGCGCAGAUAUCAGGAGGAACACCAAUAGCGAAGGCAGCUCGCUGGGACGUUACUGACACUGAGGCGCGAAAGCGUGGGGAGCGAACAGG
rnacentral:rRNA from 1 species